CGCGGGCGGCCUACGGGAGGCAGCAGUGGGGAAUAUUGCACAAUGGGCGCAAGCCUGAUGCAGCCAUGCCGCGUGUAUGAAGAAGGCCUUCGGGUUGUAAAGUACUUUCAGCGGGGAGGAAGGGAGUAAAGUUAAUACCUUUGCUCAUUGACGUUACCCGCAGAAGAAGCACCGGCUAACUCCGUGCCAGCAGCCGCGGUAAUA
rnacentral:rRNA from 1 species